ACAUACGACCAUACCCACUGGAGAACUCGGGAUCCCGUCCGCUCUCCCAUAGAUAAGCCAGUGAGGGCCGGAUUAGUAGUUGGGUCGGUGACGACCAACGAAUGCCUGGUGUUGUAUGUC
rnacentral:rRNA from 1 species